rnacentral:rRNA from 1 species
GAAUCUGGCUUUAGGUCUGGGACAACCACUGGAAACGGUGGCUAAUACUGGAUGUGCCGAAAGGUGAAAGGUUAACUGCCUGAAGAUGAGCUCGCGUCUGAUUAGCUAGUUGGAAGUGUAAUGGACUCCCAAGGCGACGAUCAGUAGCUGGUCUGAGAGGACGAUCAGCCACACUGGGACUGAGACACGGCCCAGACUCCUACGGGAGGCAGCAGUGGGGAAUUUUCCGCAAUGGGCGAAAGCCUGACGGAGCAAUACCGCGUGAGGGAGGAAGGCUCUUGGGUCGUAAACCUCUUUUCUCAGGGAAGAAAAAAAUGACGGUACCUGAGGAAUAAGCAUCGGCUAACUCCGUGCCAGCAGCCGCGGUAAUACGGAGGAUGCAAGCGUUAUCCGGAAUGAUUGGGCGUAAAGCGUCCGCAGGUGGCAAUGUAAGUCUGCUGUUAAAGAGUCUAGCUCAACUAGAUAGAAGCAGUGGAAACUACAUAGCUAGAGUACGUUCGGGGCAGAGGGAAUUCCUGGUGUAGCGGUGAAAUGCGUAGAGAUCAGGAAGAACACCAGUGGCGAAGGCGCUCUGCUAGGCCGUAACU